ensembl:lncRNA
AUUUCCAUGAAAAAAGCUGAAUGAUGCUGUUUUCAUUGCAAAUAGAAAACAUAACAUCAAGAUUGAAGUGUUGGUUGGAAAUGACAACCUGCGCGCUCGUCCCUCGACGCGUCCCGCUUUGAGAGGCUUUGCCUCUCCGACGCUUCCCCAGCCGCCACGUGAAAUCAGAGAGCAGCAGCGUUCAAAGGAAAGGCCGCACCCCCCCCCCCCCCCGUCGAAACAAUCCACAUGACGCAACACUGGAAGUCAGCACGUGACGCAGCGCGAGGAGAUCGAGCAGAUGUGAUGUUGAGAAAGAAAGAAGCGGAGAUUAAGUCAAGUUCAAAUGGGUCAUGUUAUAAACCUCAAGAUAGCAAGGAUGAUGGAGGGAUUAUCCAACACGACCAGGACGGCUAAUCAAAGGCACAUUCUGAAGAUUUGAAGGGAAGGUUGACCACGACGGAAAAAGUAUGAUUGACGUUAAUCCUUGUGGGUGGAUUAAAGAACCAUGUACAAUUCUAACGUCGUGUCACUUCCCUUUCACACAUCUAUCUCCGUAUGAAAGGAGACACUCCACUCAUAAAAUACAAAGUAAAGAUGUGUUUUGAACGGUCAGACAGGUGGAUAGAAUACGAAGUUACUUCCUUUAUUUAUUUAGCUUUAAAUUGAGCUUUUGCGCUUUGUGCCUAAUACCUAAAUGUAAUCCUGUAAGGCAAUUAACACAGUCUCCUGACCGGAAUAGUGUGUUAAUAAAUGAUAAUGGCAGCUGUAAUUCUGGCUUCUAUCUUUACUUAGAAUGCAUCAGAUUAAAUCUGAUUCAAAUAUAUCUAUGUGCUGUUAUGCCAUCACAACUAGAUAAUCUCAUUAUGGACCUACCCGGGAUUUAUUUUCCAUCUCCGUCACGUCUUUUUGCUGUAAAAUUUAAAUAGUCCAUUAGAAAGUAAUAUGUGUCACUUAAAAAAAGAUGACACGUUCCUUAAAGUAACAUGUGUGAGCAUGUAGACAGUCACAGCUGGCAUUUACAAUCUUUUGCAAUCAUUUUUCCAUUGGUUUUUCCCUUCGAAAGUUUAAACUGUGAGGAUAAAAAUUGGGACGUAUUUUCAAGGUUCAUUUAAAAGUGCCCGUCGUGGGGUGCAGCACUUCGGACAUCGGCUGUAACAACUCCCCCCUUACAAUACAUUAUCCAAUACACUUGAAAUCCUGGUAGAGUAAAAUGAUAUUGUUUCAGAUUAAUUACAUAUGUGUUUUAUUUGUUGUUUGCAGAAUUAAAUGCUGAAAGAAAAGUUACUGCUGGAAGUUCCAAUAGAAAAACCUUAAACUUUUUUGAAAUUUAGCUUUUACAACCAACAGCAGUGAAAGGUCUCAGUUUCAUGUUUUUUUCAAAUGGAUUGACGGACUGAUCUGUACCCUGUUUUUCUCAUUCAUGUCCUCCGGGCUUCCUCUCAGUCACUCUGACAAAAACUGCUACAUUCCGACGUAUCAUUAUUAAACAUUUCUGCCAUUUUUACUGUUUG